UACGGAGGGUGCAAGCGUUGUCCGGAUUUAUUGGGUUUAAAGGGUGCGUAGGCGGCCCGUUAAGUCCGUGGUGAAAGCCUCCAGCUCAACUGGAGAACUGCCAUGGAUACUGGCGGGCUUGAGUACAGACGGGGUUGGCGGAAUUGAUUGUGUAGCGGUGAAAUGCAUAGAUACAAUCAAGAACUCCGAUUGCGUAGGCAGCUAACUAGGCUGUAACUGACGCUGAGGCACGAAAGCGUGGGGAGCGAACAGG
rnacentral:rRNA from 1 species